rnacentral:ncRNA from 1 species
UGACAGGCCGCGCGCGCGAAACUAUGGUCCGCCCGCUAGGCUGGCACGAAAAACCCGGCGACCAGCCUCCCCGUCAAUCGCGAGAGGUGUGG